rnacentral:rRNA from 1 species
UACGUAGGGUGCGAGCGUUGUUCGGAAUUACUGGGCGUAAAGCGUGCGCAGGCGGCCCGUUAAGACAGGUGUGAAAUCCCUGGGCUCAACCUAGGAAUUGCGCUUGUGACUGGCGGGCUCGAGUACGGUAGAGGGGGGUGGAAUUCCUGGUGUAGCAGUGAAAUGCGUAGAGAUCAGGAGGAACACCGAUGGCGAAGGCAGCCCCCUGGGCCUGCACUGACGCUGAGGCGCGAAAGCGUGGGGAGCAAACAGG